rnacentral:rRNA from 1 species
UACGGAGGGUGCAAGCAUUAAUCGGAUUUAUUGGGCGUAAAGGGCGCGUAGGCGGAGAUAAUAGUCAGAUGUGAAAUCCUGGGGCUCAACCUCAGAACAGCAUUUGAAACUGUAUUUCUAGAGGGUAGGAGGAGAAAACGGAAUUCCACAAGUAGCGGUGAAAUGCGUAGAUAUGUGGAAGAACACCGGUGGCGAAGGCGGUUUUCUAUCUUACACCUGACGCUGAUGCGCGAAAGCAAGGGGAUCAAACAGG